rnacentral:rRNA from 1 species
GGGACACGUGGUAUCCUGUCUGAAUAUGGGGGGACCAUCCUCCAAGGCUAAAUACUCCUGACUGACCGAUAGUGAACCAGUACCGUGAGGGAAAGGCGAAAAGAACCCCGGCGAGGGGAGUGAAAAAGAACCUGAAACCGUGUACGUACAAGCAGUGGGAGCACGCUUAGGCGUGUGACUGCGUACCUUUUGUAUAAUGGGUCAGCGACUUAUAUUCUGUAGCAAGGUUAACCGAAUAGGGGAGCCGAAGGGAAACCGAGUCUUAACUGGGCGUUAAGUUGCAGGGUAUAGACCCGAAACCCGGUGAUCUAGCCAUGGGCAGGUUGAAGGUUGGGUAACACUAACUGGAGGACCGAACCGACUAAUGUUGAAAAAUUAGCGGAUGACUUGUGGCUGGGGGUGAAAGGCCAAUCAAACCGGGAGAUAGCUGGUUCUCCCCGAAAGCUAUUUAGGUAGCGCCUCGUGAAUUCAUCUCCGGGGGUAGAGCACUGUUUCGGCAAGGGGGUCAUCCCGACUUACCAACCCGAUGCAAACUGCGAAUACCGGAGAAUGUUAUCACGGGAGACACACGGCGGGUGCUAACGUCCGUCGUGAAGAGGGAAACAACCCAGACCGCCAGCUAAGGUCCCAAAGUCAUGGUUAAGUGGGAAACGAUGUGGGAAGGCCCAGACAGCCAGGAUGUUGGCUUAGAAGCAGCCAUCAUUUAAAGAAAGCGUAAUAGCUCACUGGUCGAGUCGGCCUGCGCGGAAGAUGUAACGGGGCUAAACCAUGCACCGAAGCUGCGGCAGCGACGCUGAUGCGUUGUUGGGUA